rnacentral:rRNA from 1 species
AGUGAACGCUGGCGGUAGGCCUAACACAUGCAAGUCGAACGGCAGCACAGUAAGAGCUUGCUCUUACGGGUGGCGAGUGGCGGACGGGUGAGGAAUACAUCGGAAUCUACUUUUUCGUGGGGGAUAACGUAGGGAAACUUACGCUAAUACCGCAUACGACCUACGGGUGAAAGCAGGGGAUCUUCGGACCUUGCGCGAUUGAAUGAGCCGAUGUCGGAUUAGCUAGUUGGGGGGGUAAAGGCCCACCAAGGCGACGAUCCGUAGCUGGUCUGAGAGGAUGACCAGCCACACGGGAACUGAGAAACGGUCCAGACUCCUACGGGAGGCAGCAGUGGGGAAUAUUGGACAAUGGGCGCAAGCCUGAUCCAGCCAUACCGCGUGGGUGAAGAAGGCCUUCGGGUUGUAAAGCCCUUUUGUUGGGAAAGAAAAGCAGCAGGUUAAUACCCCGCUGUUCUGACGGUACCCAAAGAAUAAGCACCGGCUAACUUCGUG